rnacentral:rRNA from 1 species
UUUUCCUACGGGGGGCAGCAGUGAGGAAUAUUGGUCAAUGGGCGCGAGCCUGAACCAGCCAAGUAGCGUGAAGGAUGACUGCCCUACGGGUUGUAAACUUCUUUUAUAAAGGAAUAAAGUGAGGCACGUGUGGGAUUUUGUAUGUACCAUAUGAAUAAGGAUCGGCUAACUCCGUGCCAGCAGCCGCGGUAAUACGGAGGAUCCGAGCGUUAUCCGGAUUUAUUGGGUUUAAAGGGAGCGUAGGUGGAUUGUUAAGUCGGUUGUGAAAGUUUGCGGCUCAACCGUAAAAUUGCAGUUUAAACUGG